GUCAGCGUGGGUUUCCUCCAGGUGCUCCCACAUGUUCUCCCUGUGUCAGCGUGGGUUUCCUCCAGGUGCUCCCACAUGUUCUCCCCGUGUCAGCGUGGGUUUCCUCCAGGUGCUCUGACAUGUUCUCCCUGUGUCAGUGUGGGUUUCCUCCAGGUGCUCCCACAUGUUCUCCCUGUGUCAGCGUGGGUUUCCUCCAGGUGCUCUCACAUGUUCUCCCCGUGUCAGCGUGGGUUUCCUCCAGGUGCUCUGACAUGUUCUCCCUGUGUCAGCGUGGGUUUCCUCCAGGUGCUCCGACAUGUUCUCCCUGUGUCAGCGUGGGUUUCCUCCAGGUGCUCUGACAUGUUCUCCCUGUGUCAGUGUGGGUUUCCUCCAGGUGCUCUGACAUGUUCUCCCUGUGUCAGCGUGGGUUUCCUCCAGGUGCUCUGACAUGUUCUCCCUGUGUCAGCGUGGGUUUCCUCCAGGUGCUCUGACAUGUUCUCCCCGUGUCAGCGUGGGUUUCCUCCAGGUGCUCUGACAUGUUCUCCCCGUGUCAGCGUGGGUUUCCUCCAGGUGCUCCGACAUGUUCUCCCCGUGUCAGUGUGGGUUUCCUCCAGGUGCUCUGACAUGUUCUCCCUGUGUCAGCGUGGGUUUCCUCCAGGUGCUCUGACAUGUUCUCCCCGUGUCAGCGUGGGUUUCCUCCAGGUGCUCUGACAUGUUCUCCCCGUGUCAGCGUGG